UAGUUUCACACAUUAAAAAGAUUAAAUGUCAUAAAGUCAAUAUAAAAUAAAAACUUUAGUACAUUAGACAAAAUUUUCCAAAUUAAAAAUUACAUAAUAAACUAUAUUAAUUAUUUAUGCCAGAAAAAAUUAUUAAUUAUUUAUUGAAGUUUUACUGUGUGGAUCUUAUACUUACUAUUUGUUUUUAUCCUAUUCUUAUAUGGAGGCCCAACCCAAAGUAUUGUAAGUUAACCCUAUUAUUGCUCUUGCUUAAUGAAAAGUCAGCAGCCGCCACCUUCAUUGCUCAAACUUCAUCUCUAAUACAACUACAACCAAACUAAUCACUGCAUCUCUUAUGUUUCUUCUAUCUUUUAUUUAUGGUUCUUUAUUUACUCUAAAUCUAUGAUUCUUAUUCUUCUUCUUCUUCAACUAAAUCAAACCGGUCCAAUUCUCUAAUCUUCUUAAGCAUUUUUUCUUCCUAAUAGUUUAAAGGUUGGUUUGUAAUGUACUUUCUUCUUCUUCUUCAACCGUGGAUGCAGAGAUUAAGUANGCCGGUCCGAACGUUUUUUUCCCGGUUCGUUUGAAGUCCGUUUUUCAGGCUAAACCGAACCGCAUGUAAGCCCGGUUCCCGGUCUGACCGGUCCGACCGGCCGGUCCGGUCCGGUUCUGACAACCUUGA
rnacentral:lncRNA from 1 species